GCAGAGAUGGAGGGGAGGGAGAGACCUACUUCGAGGGGACUGGAAAGAAAGACGCAAGGUGGCUUCUUGUGCUGGCUCUGGGGGCUUGUGCUUCCUCACAGGGUGAGGUUAUGUGAAGUGGCUGUUACCUGGGGACAGUGACACACACCUCCACCAGAACUUUCUGGUCCUCUCUUGCAGGGAUGGCACACGCAGGACCUCCGAGCUCCACAGCACAGCAUGCUGCAGCAGGACGGAAGCACUAGAGCAGCAAGCAUGGUGCCCCUGAGCAAGAGCCCUCAGAGGUGAUUUCCCAGGCAGUCACCAAAUCUGAGGAGAUGGGCAUAAGGCAGCCUGGGCUGAGGAUGAGAAACAGUGUGUUAGAGGCACUGGGAGGUGCCCCCACCCCAGCUGUCCUGGGAUUGCACUCACGAGGUAAGUGGUGAGCAUUUACUGUACAUUGUGUGUUUCAGGAUGCUUUUUCACAACAAAAUUGCACAAAAUAGGCUUUUUUUUUUUGUAUGUGUGUUGAGAAACCAAUUCAGAGCUGUGACGCCCUUCUGCAUCUACACGGUAGCCCAUGGUGGGGAUUUUGCAGCCUGGCUUCAGGCUUGGAGAAACAGAGGCAUGUGGAAACUUGGGCUGUCCUCAAAAGGGGGCAUGCAAGAGAAAGUUUCAAAGUCCUUUAUGACUCAACAGCUGUUUUUUCUGUUUUCCAACAUAGAAAAACUAAAUAUUCUCAUCUUGUUGGAACCCAUAUCUCUUCUGUGUGCAUUUUCUAUCAUCUUUCUUUCAUCACCUUCUUUUUUUAUGACUAGAAAAAAUACAUGUUAAUUCCUCAAAAAGCUUGCAAAUCAGAAAAGACCAGCACCCAGACAAAGGAAGGCUUCAGUGAUCACCAUGUCCAUCUGUCUGUCCCACUCUAAUAACUUUUAAAUCAACUGCCACACUUUAACAUCAUGCAGUACUGUGACAUGCAGCUCAAAGGCAUUAGGGUAGGAUUCAUUUCACCUAAGUUUAGACUUCUGCAGUAUCAGUGUCUUCAUCUGAGAUAGUCACCUUAGGUUGUCCUUACAGUUAGUGGAGACCAGUUGACACUUUUAACCAUAAUUCAAGUGAUCUGAUUUAGAUGUCUAUUUUGGGAUGGGAUGACUCAGGGACUAAGAGUGCCUUUCUUUACUGCUUGGUUAAGAUGAUCAGCUGAAAUGAAGAACAGUGGAAUAGUGGGAUUUUCUACAUGACUUCUGAAGGCCAGCUCUGUAUCGGAAGUGUAAUGAGGCAAAAGCUGAAGCGUGUGCUCACCAGCAGUGGUGGGUCAGUCACGGUGGGUAUCGGGCUGCCAUAUGCCAGCACAUUCUCCUUGUUGGGAAGUGGAGGGAGUUCAUGUUGCCUUUCACCUAGCUGGUAUGUAGAGGACGUGAGAAGAAGAUGAGUGUUCUGCUGGAAUGAGGAGAAAGUCAUUCAGAGCUCUAGGGUCAGGAGAGCUGCCAGGAUUAUUGUGUUGAGUGGGUAAGAAAAUAAGACACUAGCUCAAAAUAAACAAGCCUUCACUGGAUUUACUGCUCACAGAAUUAAUUGCUUAUUCCCAUGAACUCAAGACAACUCUGCAUGCUGUGACUGCUCAGAUAAAACAGCUUCUAAAAUAACUUUUGGCAUUUGGAGGUCAAGCCCUAUCUUUGAUCAGUUUAUGAUGCAGAUUUCCAUUUCCAACUUGGUAAUUUUCAAACAAGCACUCGUGGUGUUUUUCUCCAGAGCCACUCUCUAUUCUCUGAAGAAGUCACUAUAAACAUCUCAAAACAACCUCCUCCUUUUUCCUGAGAGCUCUCAGACCUGCUAAAGCUCGGAUGAUGGUUGAGCAGUUGCUUUGCUGAGACUUCUGCCUAGGAUGGAUUGCCUCUGUGUCCUGUUGCUUUCCACCUGAUGGCUCCCAGUCCAAGUUCUUUGGGUCAGAGCAUUUCUUUGUUGGGCACAAUAAACCUGAGUCUGUAAUAUUUAUGGUAAUGCAAGUAAAUAAAAGAGAAUACAUUACUGGUUCUGUCCU